GACGAACGCUGGCGGCGUGCUUAACACAUGCAAGUCGAACGGAAAGGCCCUGCUUUUGUGGGGUGCUCGAGUGGCGAACGGGUGAGUAGCACGUGAGUAACCUGCCCUUGACUUUGGGAUAACUUCAGGAAACUGGGGCUAAUACCGGAUAGGAGCUCCUGCUGCAUGGUGGGGGUUGGAAAGUUUCGGCGGUUGGGGAUGGACUCGCGGCUUAUCAGCUUGUUGGUGGGGUAGUGGCUUACCAAGGCUUUGACGGGUAGCCGGCCUGAGAGGGUGACCGGCCACAUUGGGACUGAGAUACGGCCCAGACUCCUACGGGGGGCAGCAGUGGGGAAUAUUGCACAAUGGGCGGAAGCCUGAUGCAGCGACGCCGCGUGCGGGAUGACGGCCUUCGGGUUGUAAACCGCUUUCGCCUGUGACGAAGCGUGAGUGACGGUAAUGGGUAAAGAAGCACCGGCUAACUACGUG
rnacentral:rRNA from 1 species